rnacentral:lncRNA from 1 species
GGGGCAUCUCUGGAGGGCAGAAGCUCUGAAGGUUUUGACCAAGAGCUAAGUCUUAGCAAACAGGGCUUGUUGGAUGCCACGAUGGAGAGAACCCACUGCCUAAAACCCUCAUCUCCUGGUACCCAACGGAGCAGUGACUGGCGAGGGAAGAUGGCAGAUCCAGGCCUAGGAUGCUGCUGGGUGAGGAUGCUCAUGAGAGGAAGCACACAGAGGUGUGACACAGGCGUAGUUUCAGUUCCCACACAUGGCUCAACCCCAAAGAGGGACAGACAGCCCAAAGAUCCUCUACAGAAAGCAACUGGAAUACUUAUCUUCCAACUUGUGUGCUCAUGGGCUGGCUGACCCAGGGAACAGAAACAGACCUUUAGUGAUAUAGGUUGCCUGAUUUCCAGGCUGAACGUGGUAG